rnacentral:piRNA from 1 species
UACCUACUGAAGCACAGUCACAAGGGU